UACAGAGGUCUCAAGCGUUGUUCGGAUUCAUUGGGCGUAACGGGUGCGUAGGUGGCGCCGUAAGUCAGGUGUGAAAUUUCGGAGCUUAACUCCGAAACUGCAUUUGAUACUGCGGUGCUUGAGGACUGGAGAGGAGACUGGAAUUCACGGUGUAGCAGUGAAAUGCGUAGAUAUCGUGAGGAAGACCAGUGGCGAAGGCGGGUCUCUGGACAGUUCCUGACACUGAGGCACGAAAGCGUGGGGAUCAAACAGG
rnacentral:rRNA from 1 species